UGGGGAAUAUUGGGCAAUGGGCGCAAGCCUGACCCAGCAACGCCGCGUGAAGGAAGAAGGCUUUCGGGUUGUAAACUUCUUUUCUUGGGGACGAAGAAAGUGACGGUACCCAAGGAAUAAGCCACGGCUAACUACGUGCCAGCAGCCGCGGUAAUACGUAGGUGGCAAGCGUUAUCCGGAUUUAUUGGGUGUAAAGGGCGUGUAGGCGGGAAUGCAAGUCAGAUGUGAAAAGCUAUGGGCUCAACCCAUAGCCUGCAUUUGAAACUGUAUUUCUUGAGUGCUGGAGAGGCAAUCGGAAUUCCGUGUGUAGCGGUGAAAUGCGUAGAUAUACGGAGGAACACCAGUGGCGAAGGCGGAUUGCUGGACAGUAACUGACGCUGAGGCGCGAAAGCGUGGGGAGCAAAUCAGGAUUAGAUACCC
rnacentral:rRNA from 1 species